CGCAGGAGGCUCUCACUGCAGCCCCCAUGAAUCAUCCCACGGGCGAGGAGAAGGCGCACGGCCCCACUUUGCAUUGCUCUGAUGAACUCGGGUCUCAGGAGCAGGCGAGAAACUUCCCCCUUUUCCUGAAGGGCAGCCCUGACUCAUCCUUCAAAAUGCAUCUUGAUGUUUAAUUGAAAGUGAAAAGCCAGCGCUGAGCCUCGCUGAGCUGCUGGAGACAUGCGGCCGUGUUGCUAGGCUGGCGUUCGGCCGAGGGAGGCGCAGGGCAGAGGCUGCGCUCUUGAAGAAGCUGGCCGUGAGGCCAUCUGCCUGGGACAGGCACUCUCAAGGAAAAAGACAGAAAAAGGGGGAAAGGGGCCCAGCCCAGAUGAGCUUCCUGCCCUGCCAAAAAAUUUUUGGCUGACGCAGCAGAUGUGUGGCUUCGAAAUCCCAUGUGGGACCCCUGCUCAAGUCACCUCAACACCAUAUUCCAGAUUCCUGCCUGCAGGAGCUGCUGGCAGUCAGUGCAGACAACACUGAGCAAGAUGGACCGAUGGUCUGAUUCAGCAUAAGGCAGCUUCCUGUGUUUCUAUGGAGUCCAAGCCUGCUAGAUGUUCCAUCAGCUGUGCAAACGUCUACAGGUAACUCGCGAUUUGCACACAUUUAACUUGUAUGCGCCUGGUAUAUUUAAGAAGAAGAAAAUUAAAAGGG